UGUGUCUUUAGGUUUUUGUUGCUCCUUAAAUAGCUUUUUUGUGCUGCUAGAGUUUAAGCACUGCUGGAACUCUGUCAAUUCUUGACCUUAUUUUUUUUCUUGCCUAAGUAAGGAAAACUCCCAGCUAAUUGUAAGAGUGCUCUGUUGCCAUCACAAAAGAUCCUCUUUUUUGGGAGUAAAACUGAAUUUCCGGUGUGAGAUCAUCAGGUUCAAGAAAAGAAGAAAUAGAAAUGCUCUUAAAAAAUAACUGAGGCAGACAGAAGUGUAAGAAUUGGGGAUUGUCUGGCAUGUAGUCAGAUUGUCAGUCAUGGCGAGGCAUGAGCAACACAGGCUCUGCAGCUGCAGGCUGGAAAAAAUCGUAUGAAUGGAAAUUAGCAUACAGAGUUCUCAUCAGUCCUUCUGGGGAUUUUUUCUCUUCUCCAGCAUUGACAAGUGCAAAUUAGAGGACUCUUCAGAUUGAGUGGUACCUUUAACUGGGAAUAAAAGCAAUGAUUUAAAACAGGAUGAAAACCCUAAUAAAAGAAAGCAGUCAAAUGAUGGUGUUUCUGCAAGAUACGAGACAUCUACAAAAAUGAUAACCAUUUAUUCUUCAUCAAAUAUAUAUGCAAAAGUCACUACUUGGGACAAGGUGAGGAAGGAGAACCUUUACCUAGAACCCUUUGGAGCAAAAACCCCAUACUGAAUUGAUUUUUAACAUGGGAACUUGAACAGAGAGAGGUAAAGAAGACUUCGGGUCACUGACAGCAGCCCACAGAGAGAUAACAUCUUUCAUACAUUAUAGAAUAAGUUUAACUGAAAAUCAGAAAAUUGUGAAGAAUUCUGUGCUGUAUGCAUAUUGAAUAAAGCCCAUGUUGUAUUGAGGUCCACCA